UGCCUCCUGAUAAUGGCUUCUGCAGGCCCA
rnacentral:piRNA from 1 species